rnacentral:misc_RNA from 1 species
GUGGAGGAAUGUGAUCAUAUCCAAGGGUUUCAGUUCAUAGUUGAUGACUCAGGAGGAUUUUCGGCAAUAGCUGGGGAUUUUCUUGAGAGUGUUGCAGAUGAAUAUUCAAACACCCCAGUUUUACUUUUUAGUGUUCGAAGGCCUAGUUCUAACAUGCUUCGUGAAAAUAAGAGGCAGAUAGUUUCUAGAGAUCUCCAUGAUGCAGUUUCAUUUGCAAGACUAUCAUCUUUCUGUCAGCUCUGUGUGCCGGUUGGUUUGCCAAGUUUGAGCAGGAGCAAAGCUACGACCCAUCUCUGCAUUGAUGACCAGAAGCCUUAUCACUGUAGUGCUGUAUAUGCUGCUGCUUUACACUCCAUUGGUCUCCCUUUACGAAUGGAAGCCCAUGGACCAACCA